AUUGAACCGGCAACUUUCUGGUCACAGGGCCAGUUCCCUAACCUCCAGCCCAUGACUGCCCCCAAAUCAUGCCCCCAUGACUGUGGUUUUUUGCAGGGACUCUUAUUGUGAAGGGCGGGGCUACUGAAGGCUAGUGAGCGUGAGAGAGCCAACAACAGGACCAAUGAGCUAGGCUGAGGGUGACCUUCUCCUCCUGUGUUCUGUUUGCUGUACCAGUUCUAAAUGAAGCCACAUUGUGGACUUUGAGCUGUCCAUGGACAGGUAGAUGAGACAAGAGGUCGGUUCAAGGCUUCGGUGGAGCGUCAGUCUGACCCUACCUCACCUUUCGGGUCCUAAGGUCCUAACUGGAAGUGUGGAGAUGCUAGUCGUCAUUUAGGGGUAUGGGAAAUCUUCACUUUGGGGAUCACCACUGCAGCCUUCAAGCCAACAGAUAAAGGAGGAGGAAAUCUACAAGAACAGAAUUAAAGAACUGAAACUGUCCCUCGUGUGCGAGGUGAAGGGUCAGUGUCUUUACAGCACAGAAUCAGGCACCAGCAGACGGUCACCGGAUUCUUGUUUUCCGUUCAACGGCAGCAGAUGUUUGCAGCAUCGGACGUCUAAAAAAGCCGGAAAACUUUGCGGAUCUCAGAUCCCACCUUCGUCGCCAGAACACAAGUAUAUUCCUUCUUCACAAGCAUUCAGAAAUACUGUAAAUAGGUUCAGUUUCAUUAAAGAAAGGCCCGACUUGUCUUGCUGAGUCAGAAAUGUGGCCCUCAGCUGCAUAUUCAGAAAAAAAGGACACACAUAAAUGGGACGGUUUUAAGAAUC
ensembl:lncRNA